CCUACGGGAGGCAGCAGUAGGGAAUAUUGCUCAAUGGGGGAAACCCUGAAGCAGCAACGCCGCGUGGAGGAUGAAGGUUUUCGGAUUGUAAACUCCUUUUGUUAGAGAAGAUAAUGACGGUAUCUAACGAAUAAGCACCGGCUAACUCCGUGCCAGCAGCCGCGGUAAUACGGAGGGUGCAAGCGUUACUCGGAACCACUGGGCGGAAAGAGCGCGUAGGCGGGAUAGCAAGUCAGAUGUGAAAUCCUAUGGCUUAACCAUAGAAGUGCAUUUGAGACUGUUAUUCUAGAGUAUGGGAGAGGUAGGUGGAAUUCUUGGUGUAGGGGUAAAAUCCGUAGAGAUCAAGAGGAAGACUCAUUGCGAAGGCGACCUGCUAGAACAUAACUGACGCUGAUGCGCGAAAGCGUGGGGAGCAAACAGGAUUAGAUACCCCAGUAGUC
rnacentral:rRNA from 1 species